rnacentral:rRNA from 1 species
UCACACAAGCAGUGGAGUAUGUGGCUAAUUCGAGGCUACGCGAAAUACCUUACCUAGGCUUGACAUGCAAGGAUUAGCCGGCGGAAACGUCGGUAACGCCGCAAGGUGGAACUUGCACAGGUGCUGCAUGGCUGUCGUCAGCUCGUGCCGUGAGGUGUUGGGUUAAGUCCCGUAACGAGCGAAACCCUUGUGUCCAGUUGCCAGCGCGUAAAGGCGGGGACUCUGGACAGACCGCCGGUAUUAAACCGGAGGAAGGCGGGGACGACGUCAAGUCAUCAUGGCCCUUAUGCCUAGGGCUGCACACGUACUACAAUGGGCCGGACAAAGCGACGCGAGACCGCGAGGUGGAGCAAAUCGCAAAAACCGUCCCCCAGUUCAGAUUGGACUCUGCAAUUCGAGUCCAUGAAGUUGGAAUUGCUAGUAAUCGCGGAUCAGCAUUGCCGCGGUGAAUGUGUUCCUGAGCCUU